UUUUAUGGAGAGUUUGAUCCUGGCUCAGGAUGAACGCUGGCGGCGUGCCUAAUACAUGCAAGUCGAGCGAACGGACGAGAAGCUUGCUUCUCUGAUGUUAGCGGCGGACGGGUGAGUAACACGUGGAUAACCUACCUAUAAGACUGGGAUAACUUCGGGAAACCGGAGCUAAUACCGGAUAAUAUUUUGAACCGCAUGGUUCAAAAGUAAAAGACGGUCUUGCUGUCACUUAUAGAUGGAUCCGCGCUGCAUUAGCUAGUUGGUAAGGUAACGGCUUACCAAGGCAACGAUGCAUAGCCGACCUGAGAGGGUGAUCGGCCACACUGGAACUGAGACACGGUCCAGACUCCUACGGGAGGCAGCAGUAGGGAAUCUUCCGCAAUGGGCGAAAGCCUGACGGAGCAACGCCGCGUGAGUGAUGAAGGUCUUCGGAUCGUAAAACUCUGUUAUUAGGGAAGAACAUAUGUGUAAGUAACUGUGCACAUCUUGACGGUACCUAAUCAGAAAGCCACGGCUAACUACGUGCCAGCAGCCGCGGUAAUACGUAGGUGGCAAGCGUUAUCCGGAAUUAUUGGGCGUAAAGCGCGCGUAGGCGGUUUUUUAAGUCUGAUGUGAAAGCCCACGGCUCAACCGUGGAG
rnacentral:rRNA from 1 species